CCUACGGGAGGCAGCAGUGGGGAAUAUUGCGCAAUGGGCGAAAGCCUGACGCAGCGACGCCGCGUGAGGGAUGAAGGUCUUCGGAUCGUAAACCUCUGUCAGCAGGGAAGAACGGUCACUGUGCUAAUCAGCCGUGAAUUGACGGUACCUGCAAAGGAAGCACCGGCUAACUCCGUACCAGCAUCCGCGGUCAUACGGAGGGUGCGAGCGUUAAUCGGAAUGACUGGGCGUAAAGCGCUCGUAGGCGGUCGGUCAAGUCAAGGGUGAAAUCCCCGCGCUCAACGUGGGCACUGCCUUUGAAACUGGCAAACUGGAGUGUGGGAGAGGAUAGUGGAAUUCCAGGUGUAGGAGUGAAAUCCGUAGAGAUCUGGAGGAACAUCAGUGGCGAAGGCGACUAUCUGGCACAUAACUGACGCUGAGGAGCGAAAGCGUGGGUAGCAAACAGGAUUAGAUACCCCAGUAGUC
rnacentral:rRNA from 1 species